rnacentral:rRNA from 1 species
AUGGAGUCGCCAAAAAAGUUGCGCCCGCUCAUCAUCAUGGCGAUGCUACUGCUGCUCGUGAUGGCUGCGGAAGGCCAUAAACAUUGUCCGGAGGACUUGUGUGAAGGACCAAGUGGCAAGUUCAAAGGUGCAUGUUCGCAGGACGACGAAUGCCAAGAAACAUGUGGGGAAGAGGGUUUUCACACUGGCUUUUGUAAAGUUGGGCCUUUUAAUGGUGCAUGUAAAUGUUGUAAGCCAUGUGUUUUUUAA